rnacentral:rRNA from 1 species
AGUGAACGCUGGCGGUAGGCCUAACACAUGCAAGUCGAACGGCAGCACAGUAAGAGCUUGCUCUUACGGGUGGCGAGUGGCGGACGGGUGAGGAAUACAUCGGAAUCUACUUUUUCGUGGGGGAUAACGUAGGGAAACUUACGCUAAUACCGCAUACGACCUACGGGUGAAAGCAGUGGAUCUUCGGACCUUGCGCGAUUGAAUGAGCCGAUGUCGGAUUAGCUAGUUGGCGGGGUAAAGGCCCACCAAGGCGACGAUCCGUAGCUGGACUGAGAGGAUGAUCGGCCACCCUGGAACGGAGACACGGUCCAGACUCCUACGGGAGGCAGCAGAGGGGAAUAUUGGACAAUGGGCGCAAGCCUGAUACAGCCAUACCGCGUGGGUGAAGAAGGCCUUCGGGUUGUAAAGCCCUUUUGUUGGGAAAGAAAAGCAGCAGGUUAAUACCCCGCUGUUCUGACGGUACCCAAAGAAUAAGCACCGGCUAACUUCGUG